CCUACGGGAGGCAGCAGUGGGGAAUAUUGCACAAUGGGGGAAACUCUGAUGCAGCAACGCCGCGUGAAGGAAGACGGCUUUCUGAUUGUAAACUUCCGUUCUUAGUGAAGAAUACUGACGGUAUCUAACGUAUCAGCACCGGCUAACUCCGUGCCAGCAGCCGCGGUAAUACGGAGGGUGCAAGCGUUACUCGGAAUCACUGGGCGUAAAGAGCGCGUAGGCGGGAUAGCAAGUCAUAUGUGAAAUCCUAUGGCUUAACCAUAGAACUGCAUUUGAAACUGUUAGUCUAGAGUAUGGGAGAGGUAGGUGGAAUUCUUGGUGUAGGGGUAAAAUCCGUAGAGAUCAAGAGGAAUACUCAUGGCGAAGGCGACCUGCUAGAACAUAACUGACGCUGAGGCGCGAAAGCGUGGGGAGCAAACAGGAUUAGAUACCCGAGUAGUC
rnacentral:rRNA from 1 species